AAAAGACUUAGUCCUAACCUUACAGUUGGUUCCUACCAAACCUAUACAUGCAAGUAUCCGCAACCCGGUGCAAAUGCCCUCAGCCUCUUGAUAAGACAGAAGGAGCUGGCAUCAGGCUCGCCCGCGCANCCCAUAACGCCUUGCUCAGCCACACCCCCACGGGUUCUCAACAGUAAUUGACAUUAAGCAAUAAGUGUAAACUUGACUUAGUUAUGGUAGACCAGGGUUGGUAAAUCUUGUGCCAGCCACCGCGGUCAUNCAAGAAACCCAAAUCAACCGUACACGGCGUAAAGAGUGGCCCCAAUACUAUCCACACUAACUAGGGCCAAACUACAACUGAGCUGUCAUAAGCCUAAGAUGUACCAAAAUCCAAUAUUAAUAUACCCCUAGCACCAAGGAAUGACCGCUCNNANNAAAGCCAGGGAACAAACUGGGAUUAGAUACCCCACUAUGCCUGGCCCUAAAUCCCGACGUUCACUUANACCCUAACGUCCGCCCGGGAACUACGAGCAUAAACGCUUAAAACCCUAAGGACUUGGCGGUGCCCCAAAACCCCCUAGAGGAGCCUGUUCUAUAAUCGAUAACCCACGCUACACCCAACCUCCUCUUGCUUAAACAGCCUAUAUACCGCCGUCGUCAGCCCACCUCCAAUGAGAGUACAACAGUGAGCUUAAUAACCUUAACCGUUAAUAAGACAGGUCAAGGUAUAGCCUAUGAGGAGGAAAGAAAUGGGCUACAUUUUCUAACCUAGACUAAUGCACGAAAAGAAGCCUGAAACAGCUUCCAGAAGGAGGAUUUAGCAGUAAGACAUGAUAAUUAAGCCUGUCUUAAGCCGGCCCUGGGGUACGUACAUACCGCCCGUCACCCUCUUCGCAAGCCACACCCACAACUAACUAAUCCCCCGAUUAGCUGAAGAUGAGGUAAGUCGUAACAAGGUAAGCGUACCGGAAGGUGCGCUUAGAAUAU
rnacentral:ncRNA from 1 species